rnacentral:rRNA from 1 species
UUGGAGAGUUUGAUCCUGGCUCAGGACGAACGCUGGCGGCGUGCUUAACACAUGCAAGUCGAACGGAAAGGUCUCUUCGGAGAUACUCGAGUGGCGAACGGGUGAGUAACACGUGGGCGAUCUGCCCUGCACUUCGGGAUAAGCCUGGGAAACUGGGUCUAAUACCGGAUAGGACCACGGGAUUCAUGUCCUGUGGUGGAAAGCUUUUGCGGUGUGGGAUGGGCCCGCGGCCUAUCAGCUUGUUGGUGGGGUAACGGCCUACCAAGGCGACGACGGGUAGCCGGCCUGAGAGGGUGUCCGGCCACACUGGGACUGAGAUACGGCCCAGACUCCUACGGGAGGCAGCAGUGGGGAAUAUUGCACAAUGGGCGCAAGCCUGAUGCAGCGACGCCGCGUGGGGGAUGACGGCCUUCGGGUUGUAAACCUCUUUCACCAUCGACGAAGGUUCGGGUUUUCUCGGAUUGACGGUAGGUGGAGAAGAAGCACCGGCCAACUACGUGCCAGCAGCCGCGGUAAUACGUAGGGUGCGAGCGUUGUCCGGAAUUACUGGGCGUAAAGAGCUCGUAGGUGGUUUGUCGCGUUGUUCGUGAAAUCUCACGGCUUAACUGUGAGCGUGCGGGCGAUACGGGCAGGCUAGAGUACUGCAGGGGAGACUGGAAUUCCUGGUGUAGCGGUGGAAUGCGCAGAUAUCAGGAGGAACACCGGUGGCGAAGGCGGGUCUCUGGGCAGUAACUGACGCUGAGGAGCGAAAGCGUGGGGAGCGAACAGGAUUAGAUACCCUGGUAGUCCACGCCGUAAACGGUGGGUACUAGGUGUGGGUUUCCUUCCUUGGGAUCCGUGCCGUAGCUAACGCAUUAAGUACCCCGCCUGGGGAGUACGGCCGCAAGGCUAAAACUCAAAGGAAUUGACGGGGGCCCGCACAAGCGGCGGAGCAUGUGGAUUAAUUCGAUGCAACGCGAAGAACCUUACCUGGGUUUGACAUGCACAGGACGCGUCUAGAGAUAGGCGUUCCCUU